CUCAAGCGGUAGCACACUCGCCUGGCAUGCAUGCGGCCCGGGUUCGAUCCUCAGCACCACAUACAAAGAUAUUGUGUCCGCCAAAAACACACUUUGCCAGACCUGUCAUGUUCAUAUCAUGUGAACCUUGUAAGAACCCUAAGAGGUGGGGUGUUACUAUUUCCCCCAUCUAAUGGUUGGCAGAACUGAAAUGGAAAGAUGUUAUGUGUCUUUCCCAAGGUCUCUUUCUCACAGGCCUCUCCAGAGCCCACUGCCUUGAGUAGGGGACAGUACUAGGUUACCUCUAUGUACUGAAUUUCUUAAAUUCUUCCUCCACUUCUUCUAAAUCCCACUGAGGGGGAAAAAGAAAACACAAAACCAAAAAAUAGUAUCUUCUCUCUGUAUUCACACAGAGCAUCACUUCUGACAGCAGAGGGUGGGGGUUAGGAAAUGCACAUCAAGCUGUUCUCCACCCCUGGACACCAACUAAGUGUCCUACAAUGGAAUUCAAUUCCAAUUCUGCCUGCCCGGAUUUGGUUAGCAUCAGAUGCCACAGUUAAGGGCUCAGGCCCACAAAACUGUCCCCACUGCAGAUGCCAGUUCACUUGUGGACCCCUGAACUCCUAUAGCUCCUCUGGACACCAAGACACCCCACCUCAGGUUCCAUAAUUUGCUAGAAUGGCAGAUAAAUUCUUUGCUUACCUUGGCUGGUGUGUUGCAAAGGGUAUUAAAGGAUACACACGAACAGCAGAUGAGAUAUAGGGCAAGGUCCAAAAAAAACCCCACUGUCCCAUGGACUUGGGGUGCACCACCUUCCCAUACAUGGGUGCAGUUUACCAAUCUGGAAGUCCAUGGAAUCUGACUAUCCAGGAUUUUUUACACAGCUCAAUCUCCAGCCCCCAAAAAACAAAAUGCACACUUCACAGAGUUGGUGAAUGGAAGUACAAGUUCCAACCCUGUAAGUACUUGCUCUUUCUGGUGUCUGGUCCCAUUCUGAGGCUAUCCAAGGGCCUCACCCAAAAACACUUCAUUAGUAUAAACUCAAGUGUGAUCAAAGUGUUAGGGGUUGUCAGAGAUACCCCUUUGACUCAGGAUAUUCAAAGGGCUUAGCAGCUCUGCAACAAGAGCUAGGGGACAAGGGCUAAAUAUAUUUCCUAUUACACCACAACUUCCUAAAUAAUUUCAUGUUCUUUGACCAGUCCUUCUGGUAAUUCAGCCAUAGAAAACAUGAUGCCAAGGUGUCUCUGACGUGUUUAAGCAGAUACCCUACUAAAAACAGGUGAUGCAAAGCUCAUCUUGUGACUUCGACCAGAGCCAGGCAAAUCAGCUAACAGGCCACGUUGAGAUGAGUUUUGUCAGAUGAUGCCAUCACAGUGGCAGGCAAGAGCAUCACAGAAGAGGGGCCCCUGAAUCCCACAGGAAAAAGACACAGAACUGCCUUGUUAGUCGAAAAACAUUGUCUUCAUUCCAAAGAUUCAAAGUCAUCUUCUCAAGUAGACUAUGUUUGUAGUACCUGGGAAUUCUCCAGUGUGUACUUCUCUAGAUUCUCAGAAACAAAGCCAGGCCUAAGGACACACCCUGUCCCCAUCUCCAGCUCUGUCUGCACCUUGGUGCUGUGGUGAUUCUCUCUGAACAUCAUAGUUUCAAUGACUUUUAUAUUGAUCUUCCAUGAAGAUGGUUCUCUCCAAGCAGCAGAAUUGGGGGAAACAUCUACUUAUACAUCAUUAAUAAAAAUCCGUGACUGUCUGUGAGGUUGUGUGGGUGACUCCUUGAGCUCUCUCUGUGGUCUCAGCCAUUCUCUCUUCAGAGCUAGCUAUGACAAUUCGAUGACUUUUCAACAUACACACUUGGCCUCCAUUUCUAUGGGUUCCACAUCUAUGGAUCCUACCAGUCACCAAUGGCAAGUAUUUGGGGAAAAUUUUGCACUGUUGUUAUCACGUACUAUAUAAUUAAGCUUUUGAUGGUUGCAUCUGUACUGAACUUGUGCAAACUGGUUUUUCUUGUCAUUACUCCUUAAACAAUACAGUGAAACGACUACUUACAUAGCUUUUCAUUGCAUUAGGUAUUACAAGUAAUUUAGAGAUGACUUACAGUAUAAGGGAGGAGAUAAGUAGGUUAUAUACAAAUACUACACCAUUUUGUAUAAGGGACUUGAACAUAAGAGGAUUUGGGGGUAAUGAGGAAUCUUGGAAUGGGUCCCCCAUGGAUACCAAGGGACAAUUGUAUAUCAGAAGCACAUUGAUAAGCACACUGGGAUGUCUUGAUUACCAACUCCAAGAGUUUUAGAUAUUUUUCUUAAGCUGACAAGUGGGAAACUCAUUGAAGCCUUUAGCACCUAUUAAAAAUCAAAUUCCUGUCCCUGUAUUGCUAAUGGGGUAUGCGAUAAUAUGGCCCAACAAACUGUGCUAAUAAUAGGGAGCACUUUCCACAUUGUAGCUGACUUAACAAAUGUCUGAACUUAGUUAUUAACCAUCACUCACAACCAUUGAUGAUAACGAAUAUUUUCAUGAGAGUACUGAAGAUGGUGUGAAGCUCCUUACUCUGUCUCCAGUGGCAAUUUUAGAAUAUCAUUUACUAAAUGUGGGGUCGGGGCUAGGAAGAGAAGCUAUGGGCCUCCUGCUGAAGUAACCCUGCAUAGCAAGCAGGCUGAUUUUAGAUGGGAAAGCAAAGAGAACUUGAUGGAGAUGACUGAGGGUCUAAAGCCCUUCCGCGGCCACACUUGGUGUCCCCCUACCCCACCUCACUGUGACCUGCCCUAGUCGGGUGUGGAGCAAGCACAACAUGUAUGUCACAUGACACCAGUUUUCCCAGAGUCCUCUCAGCAGGAAUGCCUAUGCCUUUGUCCAGGAUGACACCUGCAUUAGGUGAGAUCCAGCUGGGAAGAGCUCCCCUCCUUCCAAACACAGGGAAUCGAAUCUCAGAGAGUCAUUUGGUUAUGCAGGUAUUGGAAGAGCUAAGAAAGCAAAUGAGAUGAUGGAGCAGGGAACCAUUUCCACCCGUGAUGGUUUGAAUGUCUGUCCCCUCCCAAAUUCAUGUUGAAUUUCCAAAGCAACAGUGCUGAGAGGUGGGGCCGAUGGGUCAGGUUAUGUCCUCCGAUGGAUUACAUAAUUAUCACAGAAUUGGGUUCCAUCUCCCUCCUGUCCCCUCUUGCCUUCACUCACCUGUGGACCCCCUAUUUCCUCUCUUACACAUGCACAAUGUACCUUCUGCUAUGCUGUAAAAUGGCAAGAGACCCUCAUCAGAUCAUGUACUUUCCAGCCCCCCAGAACUGUGGGAUAAUUUUGUUCCCUUUAUAAAUUACCCAUUCUGUUUUCAACAGAAAACUGACUCAGACAGCACCCUAUGGUGAGAGACAGAAUCCAGAGCUAGGAGAUAGUCACUGCCGAGAUGGACAGGAUACUUUCCAAGGCAGAGAGAGAAGAAGGGAGGAAGACCUGUCUUCCCCUAACCCUCUAGUUCUUACCAGCAUCUUCCAUGGGUGAGACCCACCCAGAUCCAGAAGAUAACAGCUUUUCCCUAUUAUACUCCUAUAAAAAAAAGAUAAUAGGCUAAACAUCAACUAGGAAAUGUUAUAAAGCAAAAUCUGAAAAAGGCACAAAAUUUUUUUAGACAGUUAAGAUGAUUGUAAACUUGUACCAGUUGAGGAUGGGACUGGCUACAUGUAUUAGCUUCUGACCAAAAUGGUGUUCUAACCAAAUGGUCCUGUUGGACAACUUGAUUCAGACCAUUUCAUCUAUCAC
rnacentral:lncRNA from 1 species